rnacentral:rRNA from 1 species
GCAGUCGAGCGGACCUUUGGAGCUUGCUCCAUUGGUUUAGCGGCGGACGGGUGAGUAACACGUGGGCAACCUGCCCUGCAGAUCGGGAUAACUCCGGGAAACCGGUGCUAAUACCGAAUAGUUUUUUGCCCCUCCUGGGGCGAAACGGAAAGACGGUUUCGGCUGUCACUGCAGGAUGGGCCCGCGGCGCAUUAGCUAGUUGGUGGGGUAAUGGCCCACCAAGGCGACGAUGCGUAGCCGACCUGAGAGGGUGAUCGGCCACACUGGGACUGAGACACGGCCCAGACUCCUACGGGAGGCAGCAGUAGGGAAUCUUCCGCAAUGGACGCAAGUCUGACGGAGCAACGCCGCGUGAGUGACGAAGGUUUUCGGAUCGUAAAACUCUGUUGUGAGGGAAGAACAAGUACCAACUAACUACUGGUACCUUGACGGUACCUCACCAGAAAGCCACGGCUAACUACGUGCCAGCAGCCGCGGUAAUACGUAGGUGGCAAGCGUUGUCCGGAAUUAUUGGGCGUAAAGCGCGCGCAGGCGGUCCCUUAAGUCUGAUGUGAAAGCCCACGGCUCAACCGUGGAGGGUCAUUGGAAACUGGGGGACUUGAGUGCAGAAGAGGAAAGUGGAAUUCCACGUGUAGCGGUGAAAUGCGUAGAGAUGUGGAGGAACACCAGUGGCGAAGGCGACUUUCUGGUCUGUAACUGACGC